AGCAGUAGCCGCGGGAAAACAGAGGGUGCGAGCGUUAAUCGGAUUUACUGGGCGUAAAGCGUGCGUAGGCGGCUUCUUAAGUCGGAUGUGAAAUCCCUGAGCUUAACUUAGGAAUUGCAUUCGAUACUGGGAAGCUAGAGUAUGGGAGAGGAUGGUAGAAUUCCAGGUGUAGCGGUGAAAUGCGUAGAGAUCUGGAGGAAUACCGAUGGCGAAGGCAGCCAUCUGGCCUAAUACUGACGCUGAGGUACGAAAGCAUGGGGAGCAAACAGGAUUAGAUACCCCGUAGUCCCUGUCUCUUAUACA
rnacentral:rRNA from 1 species